rnacentral:rRNA from 1 species
UGGGGAAUAUUGGACAAUGGGCGCAAGCCUGAUCCAGCAAUGCCGCGUGAGUGAUGAAGGCCUUAGGGUUGUAAAGCUCUUUCGGCGGGGACGAUGAUGACGGUACCCGCAGAAGAAGCCCCGGCUAACUUCGUGCCAGCAGCCGCGGUAAUACGAAGGGGGCGAGCGUUGUUCGGAAUUACUGGGCGUAAAGGGCGCGCAGGCGGUGCAUGAAGUCAGAUGUGAAAGCCCCGAGCUUAACUUGGGAACUGCAUUUGAUACUCGUGCGCUAGAGUUCGGGAGAGGAGAGUGGAAUUCCCAGUGUAGAGGUGAAAUUCGUAGAUAUUGGGAAGAACACCGGUGGCGAAGGCGGCUCUCUGGACCGAUACUGACGCUGAGGCGCGAAAGCGUGGGGAGCAAACAGGAUUAGAUACCCCCGUAGUCC